rnacentral:rRNA from 1 species
AAGCUCAAAUUUAAAAUCUGGCAGUGGUUCACUGCCCGAGUUGUAAUCUAGAGAAGUGUUGCUCACACUGGACCAUGUAUAAGUCUUCUGGAAUGAAGCGUCAUAGAGGGUGAGAAUCCCGUCUUUGACAUGGACUCCCAGUGUAUUUGUAGCAUGCUCUCAAAGAGUCGAGUUGUUUGGGAAUGCAGCUCUAAAUGGGUGGUAACCUCCAUCUAAAGCUAAAUAUUGGCGAGAGACCGAUAGUGAACAAGUACCGUGAGGGAAAGAUGAAAAGAACUUUGGAAAGAGAGUUAAAAAGUACGUGAAAUUGUUGAAAGGGAAACGCUUGAAGUCAGUCACAUUGGCCAGGGAUCAACUUGCUUAAGUGUACUUCCUGGCUGAUGGGCCAACAUCAGCUUUGACUGUCAGAGAAGGGUAGGGGGAAUGUGGCACCCUUCUUGGGUGUGUUAUAGCCCUCUGUCAUAUAUGGCGGUUGGGGCUGAGGAAUGCAGCGCGCCACAAGGCCGGGCUUCGACCACGUUCGCGCUUAGGAUGUUGGCAUAAUGGCUUUAAUCGACCCGUCUUGAAACACGGACCAAGGAGUCUAACAUGCCUGCGAGUGUUUGGGUGGAAAACCCGAGUGCAUAAUGAAAGUGAAAGUUGAGAUCCCUGUCAUGGGGUGCAUCGACGCCCGGACCUGAGCUUUCUAGCAAUGGCUCUGCGGUAUAGCAUGUAUGUUGGGACCCGAAAGAUGGUGAACUAUGCCUGAAUAGGGCGAAGCCAGAGGAAACUCUGGUGGAGGCUCGUAGCGAUUCUGAC